rnacentral:misc_RNA from 1 species
GAUGAAGAACGCAGCGAAAUGCGAUAAGUAGUGUGAAUUGCAGAUUUCAGUGAAUCAUCGAGUCUUUGAACGCACAUUGCGCCCCCUGGCAUUCCGGGGGGCAUGCCUGUCCGAGCGUCAUUGCUGCCCUUCAAGCCCGGCUUGUGUGUUGGGUCGUCGUCCCCCCCGGGGGACGGGCCCGAAAGGCAGCGGCGGCACCGCGUCCGGUCCUCGAGCGUAUGGGGCUUUGUCACCCGCUCGAUUAGGGCCGGCCGGGCGCCAGCCGGCGUCUCCAACCUUCUAUUUUACCAGGUUGACCUCGGAUCAGGUAGGGAUACCCGCUGAACUUAAGCAUAUCAAUAAGCGGAGGA